rnacentral:rRNA from 1 species
GAUGAACGCUAGCGGCAGGCCUAACACAUGCAAGUCGAGGGAGGAGCUUUCGGGCUUCGACCGGCGUAUGGGUGCGUAACGCGUAUACAAUCUGCCUUUCACAUAGGGAUAGCCCGAAGAAAUUUGGAUUAAUACCUAAUGGUAUAUAGGGAUGGCAUCAUUUUUAUAUUAAAGCUGAGGCGGUGAAAGAUGAGUAUGCGUUCUAUUAGCUAGUUGGAGAGGUAACGGCUCCCCAAGGCGACGAUAGAUAGGGGUUCUGAGAGGGAUAUCCCCCACACUGGUACUGAGAUACGGACCAGACUCCUACGGGAGGCAGCAGUGAGGAAUAUUGGACAAUGGUCGGAAGACUGAUCCAGCCAUGCCGCGUGCAGGAAGACGGCCUUAUGGGUUGUAAACUGCUUUUGCAGGGGAAGAAUAAGGAGUACGUGUACUUUGAUGA